AUGAAUCUGAGCCCUUCGUGCGCACGUUUGAUCUAGGCCGUCCGUGCGAGCGGGAACGGAUCUGGGCCGUCCGAUCGCGCGCACACGGAUCGGCCACGUGGCCCGUCCCGUGUCAGCGUUUCCUUGCCACGCGGCGUGUCCUGGUUGGCCGGGGCUGCUGACCGGGCUGCUGACGUGGCUGCUGACGUGGCACAAUUUUUCUAAAUUGCGUUUUG
rnacentral:lncRNA from 1 species